UGUGCUAUGAAUAUGGGACCAAAUACUUAACCUUUUACUACUUUAAUACACGUCGGGCAUCCUUCUGUGAAUCCGGAGGCGAGCGUGUAAACUCCCACUGCCUUCUAUUCUUCUGGCUAACGUGCAAUCACUGGAAAAUAAAAUUGAUAACCUACGUUUAAGAUUAUCCUACCUACGGGACAUUAAAAACUGUAACAUCUUAUAUUUCACCAAGACGUGGCUGAACGAAGACACGGACAAUUUAGAGCUAGCGUGAUUUUCCAUGCACCGGCAGAACAGAGACGCUACCUCUGGUAAGACGAGGGGUGGGGGUGUGUGUCUUUUUGUAAAUAACAGCUGGUGCGCGAUGUGUAAUAUUAAAGAAGUCUGGAGGUAUUGCUCGCCUGAGGUGGAGUACCUUAUGAUAAGCGGUAGACCACACUAUCUAGCAAGAGAGUUCUCAUUUGUAUUAUUCGUAGCCGUCUAUUUACCACCACAAAACGAAGCUGGCACUAAAACCGCUCUCAACCAACUCUAUGAGGCCAUAAGCAAAGAAGAAAAUGCUCACCCAGAAGCGGCGCUCCUAGUGGCCGGAUACUUUAAUGCAGGCAAACAUAAAAUUAGUUUUACCACAUUUUUACGUGCAACCAUGGGAAACCAUGGUUGCCCUCAGACGAACCAUGGGGGAAAAAUCCUAGACCACCUUUACUCCACACACAGAGCUGCAUAAAAUGCUCUCCCAAGCCCUCCAUUUGGCAAAUCUGACCAUAAUUCUAUCCUCCUGACUCCUGCUUACAAGCCAAAAAGCAGGAAGAACCAGUGACUCGCUCAAUACGGAAGUGGUUGGAUGACACGGAUACUACACUACAGGACUGUUUUGCUAGCACAGACUGGAAUAUGUUCCGGGAUUCAUCCAAUGGCAUUGAGGAAUACACCACCUCAGUCAUCGGCUUCGUCAAUAAGUGCAUCGAUGAUGUCGUACCCACAGUGACAGUAUGUACAUAUCCCAACCAAAAGCCAUGGAUUACAGGCAACACCCGCAUCGAGCUAAAGGCUAGAGCUGCCGCUUUUAAGGAGCAGGAGACUAAUCCGGACACUUAUAAGAAAUCCCGCUAUGCCCUCAGACGAACCAUCAAACAAGCAAAGCAUCAAUACAGGAUUAAGAUUGAAUCCCACUACACCGGCUCUGAUGCUCGUCGGAUGUGGCAGGGCUUGAAAACUAUUACGGACUACAAAGGAAAACCCAGACGCGAGCUGCUCAGUGACGCGAGCCUACCAGACAAGCUAAAUGCCUUUUUUGCUCGUUUCAAGGCAAGCAACACUGAAGCAUGCACGGGAGCACAAUGGAUGACUGUGUGAUAGCGCUCUCGGUAGCCGAUGUGAACAAAACCUUUAAACAGGUCAACAUUCACAAAGCCGCUGGGCUAGACGGAUGACCAGGACUUGUACUCAAAGCAUGAGCAGACCAACUGUCAAGUGUCUUCACUGACAUUUUCAACCUCUCCCUGACUGAGUCUGUAAUACCUACAUGUUUCAAGCAGAACACCACAGCCCCUGUGCCCAAGGAAGCGAAGGUAACCUGCCUAAAUGACUACCGCCCCGUGACACUCACGUCGGUAGCCAUGAAGUGCUUUGAAAGGCUGGUCAUGGCUUACAUCAACAGCAUCCUCCCGGACACCCUAGACCCACCCCCAUUUCACAUAACGCCCCAACAGAUCCACAGAUUAUGCAAUCUCAAUCGCACUCCACACUGCCCUUUCCCACCUGGAUAAAAGGAACACCUAUAUGAGAAUGCUGUUCAUUGACUACAGCUCAGCGUUCAACACCAUAGUGCCCACGAAGCUCAUCACUAAGUUAAGGACUCUGGGACUAAACAUCUCCCUCUGCAACUGGAUCCUGGACUUCCUGAUGGGACGCUCCCCGGUGGUAAGAGUAGGCAACAACACAUCUGCCACACUGGGGCCCCUCCUGUAUUCCCUGUUCACCCAUGACUGCGUGGCCAAACAUGAUUCCAACACCAUCAUUACGUUUGCUGAUGACACAACAGUGGUAGGCCUGAUCACCGACAACGAUGAGACGGCCUAUAGGGAGGUCAGAGAACUGGCAGUGUGGUGCCAAGACAACAACCUCUCCCUCAAUGUGAUCAAGACAAAAGAGCUGAUCGUGGACUACAGGAAAAGGCGGGCCGAACAGUCCCCCAUUAACAUCGAUGGGGCUGUAGUGGAGCGGGUCGAGAGUUUCAUGUUCCUUGGUGUCCACAUCGCCAACGAACUAUCAUGGUCCAAACAUACCAAGCCAGUCGUGAAGAGGGCACGACAAAACCUUUUCCCCCUCAGGAGACUGAAAAGAUUUGGCAUGGGUCCCCAGAUCCUCAAAAGGUUCUACAGCUGCACCAUCGAGAGCAUCCUGACCGGUUGCAUCACCUCCUGGUAAGGCAACUGCUCGCCAUCUGACCGUAAGGCGCUACAGAGGAUAAUGCGAACGACCCAGUACAUCACAGGUGCCAAGCUUCCUGCCAUCCAGGACCUAUAUAAUAGGCAGUGUCAGAGGAAAGCCCAUAACAUUUUUUCAGAGACUCCAGUCAAUCAAGUUAUAGACUGUUUAAUCUGCUACUGCACGGCAAGCGGUACCGGAGCGCCAAGUCUAGGACCAAAAGGCUCCUCAACAGCUUCUACCCCCAAGCAAUAAGACUGCUGAACAAUUUAGAAAAUCACCACCGGACAAUUUACAUUGACCCCCCCCCCUCUUCCCUUUUGUACACUGCUGCUACUCUGUUUGUUUGUUACCUAUGCAUAGUCACUUCGCCCUCACCUACAUGUACAGAUUACCUCAAUUAGCCUGUACCCCUGCACACUGACUCGGUACCUGUGCCCCCUGUAUACAGGCUCGUUAUUGUUAUUCUUAUUGUGUUACUUUCAUUAUUACUUUUUAUUUUAGUCUACUUGGUAAAUAUUUUCUUCUUCUUGAACUGCACUGUUGGUUAUGGGCUUGUAAGUAAGCAUUUCAUGGUAAAGUCUACACUUGUUGUAUUCGGCACUUGUGACAAAUAAAGUUUAAUUUGUACAUGAAUUUGUCCCAAUACUUUUGGUCCCCUAAAAUGGGGGGGGACUAUGUACAAAAAGAGCUGUCAAUUCUAAAUGGUUCACCUGAUAUGGAUGAAAAUACCCUCAAAUUAAAGCUGACAGUCUGCAUCUUAACCUUAUAGUCAUCAUUUGAUUUGAAAUCCAAAGUGCUGGAGUACAGAGCCAAAACAACAAGAAAUGUGUCACUGUCCCAAUACUUUUGGAGCUCACUGUAUAUACAGUGUCUUCGGAAAGUAUUCAGACCCCUUGACUUUUUCCACAUUUUGUUACAUUACAACUUUAUUCUACAAUGGAUAAAUAAAUAAAAAUCUCAGCAAUCUACACACAAUACCCCAUAAUGACAAGCGAACACUGGUUUUUAGACAUUUUUGCAAAUGUAUUAAAAAUAAAAAACAGAAAUACCUUAUUUACACAAGUAUUCAGACACUUUGCUAUAAGAGUCGAAACUGAGCUUAGGUGCAUCCUGUUUCCAUUGAUCAUCCUUGAGAUGUUUCUACAACUUGGAGUCCACCUGUGGUAAAUUCAUUUGAUUGGACAUGAUUUGGAAAGGUACACACCUGUCUAUAUACGGUCCCACAGUUGAAAGGGCAUAUCAGAGCAAAAACCAGGCCAUGAGGUCGAAGGAAUUGUCCGUAGAGCUCCGAGACAGGAUUGUCCCGAAGUGGCUUUGGGACAAGUCUCAAUGUCCUUGAGUGGCCCAGCCAAAGCCCGGACUUGAACCCGAUCGAACAUCUCUGGAGAGACCUGAUAAUAGCUGUGCAGCAACGCUCCCCAUCCAACCUGACAGAACCUGAGAGGUGUGCCAAGCUUGUAGCGUCCUACCCAAGAAGACUCAAGGCUGUAAUCGCUGCCAAAGAUGCUUCAACAAAGUACUGAGUAAAGGGUCUGAAUACUUAUGUAAAUUUUAUAUUUCCGUUUUUUUUAUACAUUUGCUAAGAUUUUUUAAACCCUGUUAUUGCAUUGUCAUUACGGGGUAUUGUGUGUAGAUUGAUGAGGAAAAUAAACAAUUUCAUAAAUUUCAGAAUAAGGCUGUAACAACAAAAUGUGGAAAAAGUCAAGGGGUGUGAAUACUCUCCUGGCUUGGAUCAUUUUCAAAAACCCUGAGGUUGCGCAAAAAGGUGAGUUUGCUGCUAAUUACUUGAUUAGGAUGUUGGGUGGUAGAUGAGAAUAAACUCUACUUAAUGUGGCCAAAAAACAGGUCAGGAGCCACUCACGGCCCAGACUUGAAUGGAGGGAUUGAAAAGGGGCUUGUGUCAUGAUAACUGGGUUAGAUCACGGAGGGCUGUCGUGUUCCCGUUAGGUCUGUUAGCUCUCCAGAAUUUCCUCUCUGAGUGAUUGUUAUUCCGAGUGCAACAGUGACGACAGAUAGACCUACACGACAGCCUGUUCCCACGUAAGACUCCAGGUGUGGUUGACUGAUGUGCGUGUGUGUUUUUGUGAAAAAGCCACCCAGCGUGCUACAGUGCUAGACACGGCACCGACACCCACAGGAAAACGCCAGGCUGGGACAUUCCGAAACGAAUUGGUCCACAUUCCACACCUAGCGUUACAAUUCCGGAAGCUGCGCUUUGCUCAUAUAAACCCAAUGAGUCAGAAGAAAUAUCAAAAUAUUUAGUGGAACUUUUCCUUUUGCCCAGACCCAGACGGACCAAACCCCAGUCGACCCAGAGCGUUCCAGAACGGAGAUGCGCCAGCCAGACAACGAGGGGCGGGGGUGCACUCUGGCACAGACAUGAGUGCAAUAGAAAAAGAGGGAGGAACGAAAAUAACAUUUGAAAAUUGGAAAGAAACAAGCACAGAAAUGUGUGUUUAGUCCUAGGCGUCUCCCACCCUCUCUCUCUCUCCGCUGUGUGGUACCUUGGCCGUCAGAGCAGGUGUUGGGCAGGGAGGGUAUAAAGGCCAUCUGGAGCGCAGAGCAGUGAGAAUUAAGACUUCCACACUCUGACAGGGCUCAGACGAACCAUCUGGUCCACCCCUCGCUUAAAGAACCUGUUCCCAGCUUCAUCACACACCGGCCUCCGGCACUUGCGCUCUCUCACUAAAAACAUAGGCUACCUCUUUACUCACUCGAUUAGAUUAGCAUUUGCUGUCGGGAGGUUAGUGUCGUGUGAAGACCUGCUUCUUCCUGGUAGAUUUACAGUUAAUUUUUCUUGUUACUUCUUGGAGUGGAGUCGGGCUGCCAUGGCGUGGGCGAGACGUGUGUUUGGACCUGGGAUGUCAGUCUGUCUCUGGGCUUUGUGUCUGUCCCUUAGUCUCAUCUGGACUUGUCAGGUGACCCAGGCAGCCAUCUACAGACACGCAGGUCCGUGUAUUUACAAGGAGGUUCAUUUUCAGCCUGGACAGACCUUCUACAGGGGCUGUGACAAGUGCUACUGCCACGAAAAUGGCUACUUUUGCCUCUCACCGAUGAAACCUACCACAUGGCCCAACAAGUGCCAGCGGGUUUCGACAGAGUGUGGCUACCGCAUCGUUUAUAAGGAGUUGCCGGAGGUGGAGUGUCGUGCCUACAGCUGGAUCCGGUGAAGGAAGACACACCGAUGCCCCCUACAGUCAAAAUACAAGACGGCAAGACUCUGGCAGUGGACAACCCUUUAACGAAGCAGUUACGCGGCAGAGAACACAACCCACUCGACCUUCAAUUUGGGAAUUGGUUCUCUCAAAAGGAGGAACCAAUUCCCCAAUUGAACAACCCAACUCCCAAAGUUUCAUCCUGUGUGCCAGUGUGUGCACAAUAUUGACUGUAAAAAGCAUUUAAGUGGACCAAAGGAUCUCCUCAGUUGGCAUGGAUACUAAUAAGAUGUUAUCAAACAAGUACCGCAAAAGUAGCAACCAACUCCAGUGUACAGUUUCCUAUCGUCCCAAUAUGCUUGUUCAGAUUCCUGCCCAUGGCCUUACUGUAAUGACCACUGAUACAUGGGACAAACUGAGUUGAUUGGUGGACUGCGUUGCCCUUCUAAGAGGACAGACCAUGUAUCACCUCGCGACAAGUUCGCAAGACAAAUGGCGUUGCAUUAUACAUGUCAACGGUAUUACACUCCGCUGCCCAAGCGUGGGCGCCCAUACCCCGACCAGACACCCUUCAUUACCACGCAGUGUUACAAAAACGUCUAUAGCCAUUUCCCUAUCUGUUCUUUCGUAAAUAUUCAAUCUCCUAUAUGACAUUGACUAAGUAACGCUUUCGCACCCUGAUAGGUUUUCAAUGUGAAAGGUAGCGAAAGCGCCAUCAGUCAACUUCACAAACGUAGGCUGGGUUUACACUUCACUAGGCGUACUCCAGAGGCUUCCAGACUUCACACGACACAGAUUUCGGUGCAUGUCAGAAAUUGCAACUUUACGCAAGCAUCCGUGAGGUAUUGCAAAGCACCCUAGCAUCACUUAGCAUAAACUAAGGAGAUGCAUGCCAAUAUUUCACUGUUGACUUCAGUGUAUGUAUAUAAUUUCUUUCUAAUAAAAAGUGCCAGUUUAA